GAUGAACGCUGGCGGCGUGCCUAAUACAUGCAAGUCGAGCGAACGGACGAGAAGCUUGCUUCUCUGAUGCUAGCGGCGGACGGGUGAGUAACACGUGGAUAACCUACCUAUAAGACUGGGAUAACUUCGGGAAACCGGAGCUAAUACCGGAUGAUAUUUUGAACCGCAUGGUUCAAAAGUGAAAGACGGUCUUGCUGUCACUUAUAGAUGGAUCCGCGCUGCAUUAGCUAGUUGGUAAGGUAACGGCUUACCAAGGCAACGAUGCAUAGCCGACCUGAGAGGGUGAUCGGCCACACUGGAACUGAGACACGGUCCAGACUCCUACGGGAGGCAGCAGUAGGGAAUCUUCCACAAAGGGCGAAAGCCUGACGGAGCAACGCCGCGUGAGUGAUGAAGGUCUUCGGAUCGUAAAACUCUGUUAUUAGGGAAGAACAUAUGUGUAAGUAACUGUGCACAUCUUGACGGUACCUAAUCAGAAAGCCACGGAUAACUACGUG
rnacentral:rRNA from 1 species